GCACUACUGAGGAGUCCCAUGAUAAUAGGACGAAACGACCGUCCAGUGU
rnacentral:hammerhead_ribozyme from 1 species